CUUCCAGAGGCCUGUCUUGAAGCUUGGCCUGAGGAAACAAAACAACACCCACCACAGCAUGGGAGAAAGAGUGGCAUGUGACCUUCACCUUGGCUUCAAGGAUGGAAACAGUGCCAACUAAGGACCAAGGACCAAAAGACAAGUGUGGUGAACACAUCACUCUGAGCUUUUUCAUGGGGAACAAAUACUCCCAUUCAAUCAACAGCAACAUGAGUUGGCCUUUCAUAGCUCCAACUCCAGCAGGUGUAAGAUUUCCAUUGUUUCGAAAUCCAUGUGAUCAGCUGGCGGAUUUGAGAGAUUUAAGACUGACACACGUACACAUGAGAAUGAAUGAGAAGAAAUGGAACACGUGCGUUAAAGAGCUUUACUGGAAGAAUAAGCCAGGAUAAACUUAUCACUGCUGGGCCUUAAUGUUCUUUUCUGCCUCAAAGUGAUAUUAACACUUCCAGAGAAUGAACGUAAUGGGUAAUUGAAAGCAUUCUUGUUUAUGAGUUAGCUGCUUAAUUUCCAUGAAUGGCAACAAAAGAUUAGUGCAACCACAAAGCAUUCUCAAAAGGCAAAAUGACCUUUCUGUGGUAAGUUGGGGACCAUCUGUGUUUUAAUUACAACCCUGAAGAGAUUCUGGCAAGGUUAAUAAUGUAACCCAAUAAAUCCAGUAGCCUAAGAAAAA